rnacentral:lncRNA from 1 species
AGAAAAGCAGAACACAUGUUCUGCAGCUGAACUUCACAGAGAUGCUGGUUUAAUGAAACAGUGGUAGCCACCUCUUCUAUAACCCCGCAGUAGCAACAAAAUAGAGGCACCAAGGGGAGAAAAAGGUUUACUCACAGGAAGGUUGCAGACAAAUUAACGAAGUCCCAUAACUCACUGUCAGAACAGCAGAGGUGUCUUCAGAGAGGCUGAGUAAGAGUCAAGAUACCAUACAGUUGUUAUACGUUAACCCGAAGAUUUUUAUUGAGGAGAAAAGACAACCCCAAAGCCAGAAGAACCCAGAGAGGGUAGAGGAAAUGUCUUCCUCCCCUACAUAUAGCACUGCACACAUACCAAAAACCACUGAAUUUUUCAGCUAAAUGGAUGAAUAUUAUGCGUGCCUUCAGAAUUUCAGAGGCAACCAAGCUAAAAAUAUCAUCUCUCAGAAAUCCUUGCAGACACGGUUCCAGAUGUGACUGAGCUUGGGUAAGUCAUAGGAGACAUUGAUUUGGAAAUAAAUUGGAAGAGAGGCAGAACAUGAGAUCCCAAGUUUCUUGGCAUGGAUGGCAGCAGAAGUGGCAUUCUCCUCAAGGCUGACGUUGUCUUGGUGGCUUCCAGACUGUGGCAGAGUAAGCCUCUCUCUUGGCAACUCAGUUCUGUGGCGUGAUUUUUGGAGUCAUUUUGGAGGCUUAGAGUGUUUCUUUAGCUCCUUCAACAAUUCUUUAAACUACACAAAUCUAUACCUAAUCCCUUUGUGUUUAUUUUGUGUAUAAUAAAAAAUGCUAAUUUAUUUGAGUUUAAACUAGUUAGGUAACAU